rnacentral:rRNA from 1 species
AGAGUUUGAUCCUGGCUCAGGACGAACGCUGGCGGCGCGCCUAACACAUGCAAGUCGAACGAGCGAGAGAGAGCUUGCUUUCUCAAGCGAGUGGCGAACGGGUGAGUAACGCGUGAGGAACCUGCCUCAAAGAGGGGGACAACAGUUGGAAACGACUGCUAAUACCGCAUAAGCCCACAGCUCGGCAUCGAGCAGAGGGAAAAGGAGCAAUCCGCUUUGAGGUGGCCUCGCGUCCGAUUAGCUAGUUGGUGAGGUAAUGGCCCACCAAGGCGACGAUCGGUAGCCGGACUGAGAGGUUGAACGGCCACAUUGGGACUGAGACACGGCCCAGACUCCUACGGGAGGCAGCAGUGGGGAAUAUUGCACAAUGGGGGAAACCCUGAUGCAGCGACGCCGCGUGGAGGAAGAAGGUCUUCGGAUUGUAAACUCCUGUUGUUGAGGAAGAUAAUGACGGUACUCAACAAGGAAGUGGCGGCUAACUACGUGCCAGCAGCCGCGGUAAAACGUAGGUCACAAGCGUUGUCCGGAAUUACUGGGUGUAAAGGGAGCGCAGGCGGGAAGACAAGUUGGAAGUGAAAUCUAUGGGCUCAACCCAUAAACUGCUUUCAAAACUGUUUUUCUUGAGUAGUGCAGAGGUAGGCGGAAUUCCCGGUGUAGCGGUGGAAUGCGUAGAUGUCGGGAGGAACGCCAGUGGCGAAGGCGGCCUACUGGGCACCAACUGACGCUGAGGCUCGAAAGUGUGGGUAGCANACAGGAUUAGAUACCCUGGUAGUCCACACCGUAAACGAUGAUUACUAGGUGUUGGAGGAUUGACCCCUUCAGUGCCGCAGUUAACACAAUAAGUAAUCCACCUGGGGAGUACGACCGCAAGGUUGAAACUCAAAGGAAUUGACGGGGGCCCGCACAAGCAGUGGAGUAUGUGGUUUAAUUCGACGCAACGCGAAGAACCUUACCAAGUCUUGACAUCCCUUGACGAACAUAGAAAUAUGUUUUCUCUUCGGAGCAAGGAGACAGGUGGUGCAUGGUUGUCGUCAGCUCGUGUCGUGAGAUGUUGGGUUAAGUCCCGCAACGAGCGCAACCCUUACUGUCAGUUACUACGCAAGAGGACUCUGGCAGGACUGCCGUUGACAAAACGGAGGAAGGUGGGGAUGACGUCAAAUCAUCAUGCCCUUUAUGACUUGGGCUACACACGUACUACAAUGGCGUUAAACAAAGAGAAGCAAGACCGCGAGGUGGAGCAAAACUCAGAAACAACGUCCCAGUUCGGACUGCAGGCUGCAACUCGCCUGCACGAAGUCGGAAUUGCUAGUAAUCGUGGAUCAGCAUGCCACGGUGAAUACGUUCCCGGGCCUGUACACACCGCCCGUC